rnacentral:rRNA from 1 species
UGGGGAAUUUUGGACAAUGGCGAAAGCCUGAUCCAGCAAUGCCGCGUGUGUGAAGAAGGCCUUCGGUUGUAAAGCACUUUUGUCCGGAAAGAAAUCCUUGGCUUCUAAUACAGUCGGGGGAUGACGGUACCGGAAGAAUAAGCACCGGCUAACUACGUGCCAGCAGCCGCGGUAAUACGUAGGGUGCAAGCGUUAAUCGGAAUUACUGGGCGUAAAGCGUGCGCAGGCGGUUUUGCUAAGACCGAUGUGAAAAUCCCCGGGCUCAACCUGGGAACUGCAUUGGUGACUGGCAGGCUAGAGUAUGGCAGAGGGGGUAGAAUUCCACGUGUAGCAGUGAAAUGCGUAGAGAUGUGGAGGAAUACCGAUGGCGAAAGGCAGCCCCCUGGGCCAAUACUGACGCUCAUGCACGAAAGCGUGGGGAGCAAACAGGAUUAGAUACCCUGGUAGUCCACGCCCUAAAACGAUGUCAACUAGUUNUUGGGGAUUCAUUUCCUUAGUAACGUAGCUAACGCGUGAAGUUGACCGCCUGGGGAGUACGGUCGCAAGAUUAAAACUCAAAUGAAUUGACGGGGUCAUAGCUGUUUCCU